rnacentral:rRNA from 1 species
GUGGGGAAUCUUAGACAAUGGGCGCAAGCCUGAUCUAGCCAUGCCGCGUGAGUGAUGAAGGCCCUAGGGUUGUAAAGCUCUUUCAGCUGGGAAGAUAAUGACGGUACCAGCAGAAGAAGCCCCGGCUAACUCCGUGCCAGCAGCCGCGGUAAUACGGAGGGGGCUAGCGUUGUUCGGAAUUACUGGGCGUAAAGCGCGCGUAGGCGGACUGAAAAGUUGGGGGUGAAAUCCCGGGGCUCAACCUCGGAACUGCCUUCAAAACUAUCAGUCUGGAGUUCGAGGGAGGUGAGUGGAAUUCCGAGUGUAGAGGUGAAAUUCGUAGAUAUUCGGAGGAACACCAGUGGCGAAGGCGGCUCACUGGCUCGAUACUGACGCUGAGGUGCGAAAGCGUGGGGAGCAAACAGGAUUAGAUACCCGUGUAGUCC